rnacentral:misc_RNA from 1 species
GAUGAAGAACGUAGCGAAAUGCGAUAAGUAAUGUGAAUUGCAGAAUUCAGUGAAUCAUCGAAUCUUUGAACGCACCUUGCGCUCUUUGGUAUUCCGAAGAGCAUGCCUGUUUGAGUGUCAUGAAAAUAUCAACCUUGACUUGGGUUUUGUGCUCUAGUCUCGGCUUGGAAUUGGGUGCUUGCCGCUUUUACGAGCGGCUCACCUUAAAUGUAUUAGCUGGAUCUGUCUUUGAGACUUGGUUUGACUUUGCGUAAUAAGUAUUUCGCUAAGGACAUUCUUCGGAGUGGCCUCGUUUCUAGGACGCUUGUCCGCUUUCCAAUACAAGUUCCACCUCGUGGACAUGACUUUUUAUUAUCUGGCCUCAAAUCAGGUAGGACUACCCGCUGAACUUAAGCAUAUCAAUAAGCGGAGGA